rnacentral:rRNA from 1 species
AUUGAACGCUGGCGGAAUGCUUUACACAUGCAAGUCGAACGGUAGAGGGGGCAACCCCUCGAGAGUGGCGAACGGGUGAGUAAUAUAUCGGAACGUGCCCAGUCGUGGGGGAUAACGUAGCGAAAGUUACGCUAAUACCGCAUACGAUCUAAGGAUGAAAGCGGGGGAUCGCAAGACCUCGCGCGAUUGGAGCGGCCGAUAUCAGAUUAGGUAGUUGGUGGGGUAAAGGCUCACCAAGCCAACGAUCUGUAGCUGGUCUGAGAGGACAACCAGCCACACUGGAACUGAGACACGGUCCAGACUCCUACGGGAGGCAGCAGUGGGGAAUUUUGGACAAUGGACGCAAGUCCGAUCCAGCCAUUCCGCGUGCAGGAUGAAGGCCCUCGGGUUGUAAACUGCUUUUGUACGGAACGAAAAGGUCUCUCUUAAUACGGGGGACUCAUGACGGUACCGUAAGAAUAAGCACCGGCUAACUACGUGCCAGCCGCCGCAGUAA